rnacentral:rRNA from 1 species
AGACCCGAAACCCGGUGAUCUAGCCAUGGGCAGGUUGAAGGUUGGGUAACACUAACUGGAGGACCGAACCGACUAAUGUUGAAAAAUUAGCGGAUGACCUGUGGCUGGGGGUGAAAGGCCAAUCAAACCGGGAGAUAGCUGGUUCUCCCCGAAAGCUAUUUAGGUAGCGCCUCGUGAAUUCAUCUCCGGGGGUAGAGCACUGUUUCGGCUAGGGGGCCAUCCCGGCUUACCAACCCGAUGCAAACUGCGAAUACCGGAGAAUGUUAUCACGGGAGACACACGGCGGGUGCUAACGUCCGUCGUGAAGAGGGAAACAACCCAGACCGCCAGCUAAGGUCCCAAAGUCAUGGUUAAGUGGGAAACGAUGUGGGAAGGCCCAGACAGCCAGGAUGUUGGCUUAGAAGCAGCCAUCAUUUAAAGAAAGCGUAAUAGCUCACUGGUCGAGUCGGCCUGCGCGGAAGAUGUAACGGGGCUAAACCAUGCACCGAAGCUGCGGCAGCGAACGUAUCACUUAAAGCGAUUCAGCGGGUUACGAUUGACGGAGCGAAGCGACGUCAAAGCGUAUACAAAGUCGAGUCGGUUUAAGGAUACGUUCGUUGGGUAGGGGAGCGUUCUGUAAGCCUGUGAAGGUGGCCUGUGAGGGUUGCUGGAGGUAUCAGAAGUGCGAAUGCUGACAUAAGUAACGAUAAAGCGGGUGAAAAGCCCGCUCGCCGGAAGACCAAGGGUUCCUGUCCAACGUUAAUCGGGGCAGGGUGAGUCGACCCCUAAGGCGAGGCCGAAAGGCGUAGUCGAUGGGAAACGGGUUAAUAUUCCCGUACUUGGUGUUACUGCGAAGGGGGGACGGAGAAGGCUAUGUUGGCCGGGCGACGGUUGUCCCGGUUUAAGCGUGUAGGUGUGUGUUCCAGGUAAAUCCGGUUCACUUUAACACUGAGGC